rnacentral:rRNA from 1 species
GACGUAGGGGGCGAGCGUUGUCCGGAUUUAUUGGGCGUAAAGCGCGCGUAGGCGGUCCGUUAAGUCGGAUGUGAAAAUCCGGGGCUCAACCCCGGACCUGCAUCCGAUACUGGCGGGCUGGAGGCAGGUAGGGGAGAUCGGAAUUCCUGGUGUAGCGGUGAAAUGCGCAGAUAUCAGGAGGAACACCGGUGGCGAAGGCGGCAUCCUGGACCAACACUGACACUGAUGAGCGAAAGCCAGGGGAGCAAACAGG